rnacentral:lncRNA from 1 species
CAGUUCACUGCCAUGUUUCGCAGGAAGGCUUUCUUGCACUGGUAUACUGGGGAGGGAAUGGAUGAGAUGGAGUUUACGGAGGCUGAGAGCAACAUGAACGAUCUGGUUUCAGAGUACCAACAAUAUCAAGAUGCAACAGCUGAUGAGGAGUAUGAUUAUGAGGAGGAGGAGGAUGAGGAGGAGGAACUCCAGGAAUAGUAGUAGUGUGUGUUUCUUACUGUUUGCUUUCUUAACGUUUUGGAAAAUGUUUCUGUUCUUUCAACCUGAAUACCUUGUUUGGGUGUUAGAAAUGUUGUUUCCUGGCUUAUGUAUUUUUGUU